GACGAACGCUGGCGGCGUGCCUAAUACAUGCAAGUAGAACGCUGAAGGAGGAGCUUGCUUCUCUGGAUGAGUUGCGAACGGGUGAGUAACGCGUAGGUAACCUGCCUGGUAGCGGGGGAUAACUAUUGGAAACGAUAGCUAAUACCGCAUAAUAGCAGUUAUUGCAUGAUAACUGUUUGAAAGGUGCAAUUGCACCACUACCAGAUGGACCUGCGUUGUAUUAGCUAGUUGGUGGGGUAACGGCUCACCAAGGCGACGAUACAUAGCCGACCUGAGAGGGUGAUCGGCCACACUGGGACUGAGACACGGCCCAGACUCCUACGGGAGGCAGCAGUAGGGAAUCUUCGGCAAUGGACGGAAGUCUGACCGAGCAACGCCGCGGGAGUGAAGAAGGUUUUCGGAUCGUAAAGCUCUGUUGUAAGAGAAGAACGAGUGUGAGAGUGGAAAGUUCACACUGUGACGGUAGCUUACCAGAAAGGGACGGCUAACUACGUG
rnacentral:rRNA from 1 species